rnacentral:rRNA from 1 species
UUGGAUCCAGACUUUGAUUCAUGGCUCAGGAUGAACGCUAGCUACAGGCUUAACACAUGCAAGUCGAGGGGAAACGAUAUUGGAAGCUUGCUUCCGAUAGGCGUCGACCGGCGCACGGGUGAGUAACGCGUAUCCAACCUGCCCAUCACUUGGGGAUAACCUUGCGAAAGUAAGACUAAUACCCAAUGACGUCUCUAGAAGACAUCUGAAAGAGAUUAAAGAUUUAUCGGUGAUGGAUGGGGAUGCGUCUGAUUAGCUUGUUGGCGGGGUAACGGCCCACCAAGGCAACGAUCAGUAGGGGUUCUGAGAGGAAGGUCCCCCACAUUGGAACUGAGACACGGUCCAAACUCCUACGGGAGGCAGCAGUGAGGAAUAUUGGUCGAUGGACGAGAGUCUGAACCAGCCAAGUAGCGUGCAGGAUGACGGCCCUAUGGGUUGUAAACUGCUUUUAUAAGGGAAUAAAGUGAGUCUCGUGAGACUUUUUGCAUGUACCUUAUGAAUAAGGACCGGCUAAUUCCGUGCCAGCAGCCGCGGUAAUACGGAAGGUCCGGGCGUUAUCCGGAUUUAUUGGGUUUAAAGGGAGCGUAGGCCGGAGAUUAAGCGUGUUGUGAAAUGUAGACGCUCAACGUCUGCACUGCAGCGCGAACUGGUUUCCUUGAGUACGCACAAAGUGGGCGGAAUUCGUGGUGUAGCGGUGAAAUGCUUAGAUAUCACGAAGAACUCCGAUUGCGAAGGCAGCUCACUGGAGCGCAACUGACGCUGAAGCUCGAAAGUGCGGGUAUCGAACAGGAUUAGAUACCCUGGUAGUCCGCACGGUAAACGAUGGAUGCCCGCUGUUGGUCUGAAUAGGUCAGCGGCCAAGCGAAAGCAUUAAGCAUCCCACCUGGGGAGUACGCCGGCAACGGUGCAACUCAAAGGAAUUGACGGA